CGGGUGUAGACGAGGCGGGCCCUGCGAGAGAAGUGCCGGGGAAGGGAGACGGCGUUCAGCUCUGAUCCUCCCCCUUGCCUCGCUCUGCCUGAUCUUGGACUGAAACACCGAAAGCAAAGAGACAGGUGGCAGCGGAACUCACACUUACUGAACAACUUAUCUUCUAUGUGUCAGAAACAGCUCUAGAUACUUGGUAUUUGCCUUCCAUUUCAUCUUCUCAACAACCACACAAAUGUGGGAAAUGCCAGCAGGAGGACACCUUCCUCAACAUGGGGCUUCCUGGAAGACUUCCUGGAGGAGGCAACAUACAAAUGGAGAUCCUUCUGCUGAAAGUUCAAUUUGUGCCACCUGAAGCCUUCCAAGCUACUCUAGUCCUCAGUAAUAACUUCAUACUUGGGCCUGUAUGGUUUGAAUCCUACUUUAGCACCAGAAUGUGAUGAUCUAAUUGUUUCCUAGUUGAUCUUGGCUACUCACCAAACAUGAUAUCAAGAAGAGUGAAUAUCACCCAAGGACUAUGCUUUCUGUUCUGGGGAAAAGAGGGAGAACCUCAAUUCAUCUCCAGUGGAGUGUGUGCGACCUGAAUCUGGGAAUAGCCAUGUUCUCAGGCAUCAUACAAGGGAACAAGCUGAGAAAAGGAAGCAGCCCAUAGAGAGAGGCGGAGACUAGAGGAGAAGGGAGACGUUCCUCGUGGUUCCUUCUGAGACAAGCUACAUCUUUGCCUUUCCUGCUAUUUUGUUACACAGACAAUCAAUUUCUCUUUUAUUCCAAAAAAUGAAAAGGAAAUUCGGUAGUG
rnacentral:lncRNA from 1 species